rnacentral:lncRNA from 10 species
GAGGGGCGGGGGCGGGCUUGCUUUCAGUGGCAGCUGCCAUAAAUAGGCAGCUAGGGCGCGCUCGCUUCAGCCCAAUUGCUAACUACAAGUAGGGUAGUCUGUCCUCAGAGUGCUUGUAAAUGCAUGGCAGGACUGCUACUGGGCCACCUGGGUCCCUGUCAAUGACUUGUGCUUCAGCCUUGGAGGCAGCAGCACCCCGCUUUCAGCAGAGGAUGUCUGUGGGGCUCCAGGGAUGGGACCACACCAGACAGUGAAUCUGCUGGCAGCAUGAUCUCGGACUUCUCAGCCUCCAGAACUGUGAGAAAUAAAUGUUCGUUGUUUAUAAACCACCCAGUUUAUGGUAUUUUUGUUAAAGCAGCCUAAAUGAACUAAGACAAAUGUUUAUAUAACUUGGGUUUUCCAAGGCCUCACCACAUUGUAAGUAGAAAUAGGGUUACGUUAACAGUAACAACUAAACUUUAGUGGUUCUUGCCACUAGCAAGGCAAGCAAGACCCUACUACCUGGGGAGAAGGGAGUCUCGCAAGGGCUCCUUGCAUAUGUGCACAUACACAAGUCAAGGCCACUGCUGCUUCUGCUACCCCUUCUCAGUGCUAUUGCUCCUAUCCAG